UGGGUGACCUGCCUCUAGGUGGGGGAUAACCCGGGGAAACUCGGGCUAAUACCGCAUAACAUCGUGAGAUCAAAGAGGGGCGCAAGCCUCUCGCCGAGAGAGGGGCCCGCGUCUGAUUAGCUAGUUGGUGAGGUAACGGCUCACCAAGGCGACGAUCAGUAGCCGGCCUGAGAGGGCGAUCGGCCACACUGGAACUGAGACACGGGCCAGACUCCUACGGGAGGCAG
rnacentral:rRNA from 1 species